rnacentral:rRNA from 1 species
ACGUAGGUUGCAAGCGUUGUCCGGAUUUACUGGGUGUAAAGGGCGUGUAGGCGGAGAUGCAAGUUAGGAGUGAAAUCUAUGGGCUCAACCCAUAAACUGCUUCUAAAACUGUAUCCCUUGAGUAUCGGAGAGGCAAGCGGAAUUCCUAGUGUAGCGGUGAAAUGCGUAGAUAUUAGGAGGAACACCAGUGGCGAAGGCGGCUUGCUGGACGACAACUGACGCUGAGGCGCGAAAGCGUGGGGAGCAAACAG